rfam:Caprimulgus carolinensis contig20664, whole genome shotgun sequence.
CGCCCGGCUCUCCUCAGAGCCAUUCACCAAAUACAACAAGAGAAAG